rnacentral:rRNA from 1 species
UCCAGGCCCUACGGGGUGCAGCAGGCGCGAAACCUCCGCAAUGUGAGAAAUCGCGACGGGGGGAUCCCAAGUGCCAUUCUUAACGGGAUGGCUUUUCAUUAGUGUAAAGAGCUUUUGGAAUAAGAGCUGGGCAAGACCGGUGCCAGCCGCCGCGGUAACACCGGCAGCUCUAGUGGUAGCAGUUUUUAUUGGGCCUAAAGCGUCCGUAGCCGGUUUAAUAAGUCUCUGGUGAAAUCCUGCAGCUUAACUGUGGGAAUUGCUGGAGAUACUAUUAGACUUGAGAUCGGGAGAGGUUAGAGGUACUCCCAGGGUAGAGGUGAAAUUCUGUAAUCCUGGGAGGACCGCCUGUUGCGAAGGCGUCUGACUGGAACGAUUCUGACGGUGAGGGACGAAAGCUAGGGGCGCGAACCGGAUUAGAUACCCGGGUAGUCCUAGCUGUAAACGAUGCGGACCUGGUGUUGGGGUGGCUUUGAGCUGUCCCAGUGCCGAAGGGAAGCUGUUAAGUCCGCCGCCUGGGAAGUACGGUCGCAAGACUGAAACUUGAAGGAAUUGGCGGGGGAGCACCACAACGCGUGGAGCCUGCGGUUUAAUUGGAGUCAACGCCGG